GCUCCCUCUGCCUCCAUUUUGUGUCAGAGCGCCGGCGAGCUGUUAGUAUUGGUUGUGUUGAUAAAACAGGUCUAAACUAACCAUUUAACCUAUUCAACAAUUCAAUCCAAACAUUUAACCUAAAACCAGAGUCAUAGCUGCUGUUAGUAGAUCUGACGCCGGGUGUUGCUGAUUAGUAAGGUGUGGAGAAGCUGUUAGGGAUCUAGUACGAGGUAAAAAUGUCGGAGGAGCAGAUGAUGGGAGAAGAAGCGAGCAUGAAGAUGGAGGAGGAACAGACCACUGAUGAAGGAGCUGGAGACACAGAGGGAUCCAAGAUCGAUGCGAGUAAAAACGAAGACGAUGAGGGAAAAAUGUUUAUUGGAGGUUUAAGCUGGGACACAACAAAGAAAGACUUAAAAGACUACUUCGCCAAGUUUGGGGAAGUUAUAGACUGCACUUUGAAGCUGGAUCCGAUGACCGGCCGAUCCAGAGGCUUCGGCUUUGUUCUUUUUAAAGAUGCUGAAAGUGUGGAAAAGGUGAUUCAGCAAAAAGAACAUAAACUUAAUGGAAAAGUCAUCGACCCCAAAAAAGCAAAAGCCAUGAAGUCCAAAGAGCCUGUAAAGAAGAUCUUUGUUGGUGGUAUUUCACCAGACACUCCUGAAGAAAAGAUUCGAGAGUACUUCAGUAAUUUUGGAGAGGUGGAGUCUAUUGAGUUGCCAAUGGAAAACAAAACUAACAAAAGGCGAGGUUUCUGUUUUAUUACAUUCAAAGAGGAGGAGCCAGUGAAGAAAAUUAUAGAAAAGAAGUACCAUAACGUCGGUCUCAGCAAGUGUGAAGUCAAGGUGGCCAUGUCCAAGGAGCAGUACCAACAGCAGCAGUGGGGUGGAAGAGGUGGCUAUGCACCCAGAGGUCGCGGUAGAGGAGGUGUUAAUCAGAACUGGAAUCAUGGGUAUGGAAACUAUUGGAAUCAAGGAUAUGGAAAUUAUGGAAACUACGGCUACAGCAAUCAAGGCUAUGGUGGAUACGGGGGCUAUGAUUACUUGGGUUACAACAACUACUACGGAUAUGAUUUACCAGCCAAUGACUUUCCCCUUCAUGUUCUCUGCUCAACCUGCAGACCAGCAGAGUGGGUACGGCAAAUCUCCAAGGCGAGGUGGCCAUCAAAACAGUUACAAGCCUUACUAGUAUGCUACAAGCAUUAACUUCAAAACGUACACACAGCGGGGACUUCCUAGCAGGCCAUGAGCGGACUUCCUGAGUCUCACAGGCCCGCUCAAUGCGGACAGGGUACGAGAGGCGUACGCUCUCGCAUGCUCCCAUUUGGUGGAGGUAUUAUUAGAUGCUAACUAAGAAGAGAGCAACUUUAAUUCAAAGCAGUUGUUUAAUAUGGAGGGUUAAUGACUAAAAAAGUAAAAGUCUACAUUUUAACAUCUGCAGUAGGGUUUGUCUUUACCAACUGUUUGUUAAGGAUUCUGAUCAACAAUUAACUCAGCGUAUGACUCGUAUAAUAUGCGUUACCACAUUCAGAAAGACUUUUUGCUUUGUGUUAAAUUUAUGUGCUAACUUUUGUUUAAGAGUUUGAAAGUAUAAUCUCAGUCAAAUUCCUCAUUUGCAAGUGUUGUGCUUUUGCGUCAUGAAGUAAUGUUUCUAAAAUUAGAAUUUAUAGUAAGUAUUUAUUAGUUUAAAUGAAUAGAGGACAAAUGUCCAUUAUACAAUACAUGUUUUAUAAUAAGCUAGUAUUAUUUUGCUACAGAAAACAUGUAAAAGAUUUAGGAAUACAUUAAAACCAAAUAAAAAAACGUCAA